UCUGCCCUGGGUCACUCACUGUGGGGCAGACGAGGGGGAAUUAAGCAUCCACGGCCAGCACCGUCCCCCACCAGCACUGUCCCGCAGCCUCGAGAGCCGGAGCUGGUGCUGCCCUCUGCAGAUGCUACUGGAAUGUCACUCCCCACUGGCCCUUGGCCCCACAGGUGAUUCCAAAGCCCUGCCAUAGAUGAGAACUGCCUGUCCAGCCUGAAAUCUCUAGUCUCCCUCUGGCUCUGUUCUUUUGAACUGACUUGGUUUAAUAAAAUCGUCACUGGAAACGUC